GUCCCUGUAGCGCAAUGGAUAGCGCGUUGGACUACUAACCCAAAGGUCGCGGGUUCGCUUUCCGCCUGGGAUG